rnacentral:ncRNA from 1 species
GUAGAGUAAAUACCGCGCGUCAAGUGCCAUGGGAUGGGAUGUUGCCCAUGGACGAAGAUCCGGCGGCAGACGAUUUUUUUGUCUUUACCGGAUCGCGGUGCGGUGUUGCGUCCGCUGC